AGUAAUGGCAAGUAAUUUGAAUGUUUGUGGAGUUUGUGAACUACGCAAUAUCAGUAAACAGUCAGUAAUCUGGUGCUCCGAUUGUGAGGAGGGUCUCUGUGAUGAUUGUAAGGACCAUCACAGUUUAUCCAAAGGAACACGAAACCAUGACAUAGUGACGAUAGCCGAGUACCAGAAGUUACCAAGCACCGUUUUUGAAAUCGCACAGUCCUGUAGAAAACAUGAUCAAAAGUAUCAAAUAUUUUGUAAGAAGCAUGAUUGUCCGUGCUGUAAAAAGUGUGUCGUUGAGGACCAUAAUAAGUGUGAAGAUUUAAAAGAUAUAGAUGAUGUCAUAAGCGGAAUAAAGUCGUCAAAUGCAUUCCAAGAUAUUGAGAAGACUCUGAACGAGGUUAAAGAGUAUAUCAAAAGAAUUCGAAAAGACCGUGAAGGAAAUUUAGCGUCUUUGAAGGAACAAAAGAAGAGCAUUGGAAUGGAGAUUCUAAAAGCUAAAACCUCGAUCAAUAAUCACCUAGACAAAUUGCAUCAGGCAGUGCUGAAAGAUCUUGACGCAUUAGAGGAGACAGAGAGUAUGAAAAUUCGUCAGUUACUGAGUGAAGUGGAGAAAAAGGAAAAAGAGAUUGAAGAAUUCCAAGCUGGGUUAGCUAAUAUUAAGCAUUAUGCUUCCGAUUUGCAAACAUUCCUGGCAGCAAAGCAAAUGGAAUGCGAUUUAUCAGAGCAAAAGC
rnacentral:lncRNA from 1 species